rnacentral:rRNA from 1 species
CUGAGACCGAUGCGCGAUUUCCGUCCUCUCGUUGCGGGUUCGCGCUCGCUUCGGGGCUAAAGGUCGGCGCGCUCCGCUUUGGUGACUCUGGAUAACUCACUGGUCGAUCGCACGGGCUUCCACGCCCGGCGACGGGUCCCC